UUCCUGAAAAACACCAAUAACGAUGCGUUUAUGGUAAAGCAACACAUCAAGCAAAUUUCGUGUAGGCCUUGUAUCCAGCCUAACGCCCUAAGAAUCACCACCUAAAAUUCUCUACAAAAAAAUGGGUAACAACAUCUUGCAAGCCCAGUGCAGCCAUAGUUUUAAUUUUGUUCUAAGAAGAAGAUAUAAGAAAGGUCCAAGGUUCAACUACAACAUAGACAUAAAUUAUUUACAAAAUUAGAAGGUGGAUACAUAAAUGCUCCAAGCCUGAAGUAUCCAUCGGCAUUUGAGAAGUGGCAAGUUCUCAGACACGUGCCAUGCAUUUCUACACCAACUUCAUACACCAUACGAAUAAGCCCUGGCACCUUGAAAUAACAAUUUAAAAUGCCAAUGCUCUUGAACAUUUAGUGUCGAAGUGAAACACUGAACGAAGCGGUAAUGGAACCUAGUACGUGUGCUCACAAUGUCGAUCUUAUUUUUAAUUUAAUUUUAAUUUUUUUUUGGUGAAAUACGAAAACCGUAAUGUACGGACCUGACAUAUGUCGCAGCGGGGAGGCUCAAGCUGUCCAACAAGAGGCACGCGGACAUGCUUAUUGGCUAGCUUAUUAGCAGCAUGGACCCUAGUGUCGCAACUUGUGCACAGUGCAGCUUCGUCUGCACAACACAUCACCGCCGCUUUGUUUUUCUCGCAUACAUCGCACUGAACUCUCAUUCUCACCGCCUUCUGAUGUAUUUCUUGCAGGUUUAGAUUAUUAUCCAGAACGACAGCAUACACUUGGCGCCACGAUGCCGAGCAGGUAGUAAAAGGAGCAGCACUGUGGCCGAACUCCACAUGUGUCCUUAGCUUCACCAGCAUCAAAUUGGACAGUCAGAAAAAAACUAAAAAAAAUAAACAAACAUAAAAUAAAAAAUAGAAAUAAGAUAGAAAUCACAGAAAAAUAUCAGUCAAAUAACCCGCACUCAUUCAGUCCUCUCCAAAAAUUUGCACCAUGAACCUCCUAGAGUAAAACCCUCUCCAUGUCAUCCUCUCUACACCAUUCCACCCACUUUCAAAAUCCUGAGCGGACCCACAUAUCUAAUCAGACUAAUUUACCAUAUAAAUGCCCCGACUACCUCACAAACUAAAACUGUUUCAAUCUGGAAUUGCGACCUCACUGUCUUACCACCCUCAUCUUCUCUACUAUCAUACACCACCACUUCGACGACCUUACUCUCAACUCUCACCCAAAAUGCACCACCCCUAAAACUCUACAACAACAACAACAACCGCAACCACAACAACGCCGACGACGCCAACAACCCUCUUCUAACUGAGCAUCAAAACCAGAACCACCACUCAC
rnacentral:lncRNA from 1 species